AUGAACGCUGGCGGCGUGCCUAAUACAUGCAAGUCGAGCGAACAGACGAGGAGCUUGCUCCUCUGACGUUAGCGGCGGACGGGUGAGUAACACGUGGAUAACCUACCUAUAAGACUGGGAUAACUUCGGGAAACCGGAGCUAAUACCGGAUAAUAUAUUGAACCGCAUGGUUCAAUAGUGAAAGACGGUUUUGCUGUCACUUAUAGAUGGAUCCGCGCCGCAUUAGCUAGUUGGUAAGGUAACGGCUUACCAAGGCAACGAUGCGUAGCCGACCUGAGAGGGUGAUCGGCCACACUGGAACUGAGACACGGUCCAGACUCCUACGGGAGGCAGCAGUAGGGAAUCUUCCGCAAAGGGCGAAAGCCUGACGGAGCAACGCCGCGUGGGUGAUGAAGGUCUUCGGAUCGUAAAACUCUGUUAUUAGGGAAGAACAAAUGUGUAAGUAACUAUGCACGUCUUGACGGUACCUAAUCAGAAAGCCACGGCUAACUACGUG
rnacentral:rRNA from 1 species